GGGCCCGUAGCUCAGCCCGGUUAGAGCGGCAGGCUCAUAACCUGUUGGUCGAGCGUUCAAAUCGCUCCGGGCCCACCA
rnacentral:tRNA from 1 species